CUUGCUGCUGUUCGAGGGGACAGCACUAUAUAAUGUUGAUCGAUACAAAUUGUGUACCGAUUCUGUGACAGGUCAACAUCCUGCAGCUCUUUUUUUGGUGUGGAUAUUCGCAGAAGUGGGCAGUCUUACGAGAAAAAAGACGAAGAAGGAAGUAAAUUUCAGACCGGAGACUUGAGCCAGUGUCUUUAACAAUCUACAAAAGAGAUUGGUAAUACUUAAAGAUUUCGAUGUCAAGUGAAAAGAAAGAAGAAGAAAAAAAUGAUCCAUCUGUGACUGAGAUGGAAAAUCUCCUGCCUGAGGGAGAAGACGUUCCAUGGAGUUGGGAAUCUGGUGGAUAUGAGUUGACCAAAAGAAAAAUUCAAGAUUUAAACAAGACGAUUCGGGCUUUGAAACGUGGUCGCACUUAUAAAAGUUACCAAGAAAGAAUGAAGGUAAUUCUUGGGCUCUUGGACUC